CAGUCGAACGAAGCAUUUAGAACGGAUUACUUCGGUUUGAAGUUCUUUAUCACUGAGUGGCGGACGGGUGAGUAACGCGUGGGUAACCUGCCUUGUACUGGGGGAUAGCAGCUGGAAACGGCUGGUAAUACCGCAUAAGCGCACAAUGUUGCAUGACAUGGUGUGAAAAACUCCGGUGGUAUAAGAUGGACCCGCGUCUGAUUAGCUAGUUGGUGAGAUAACAGCCCACCAAGGCGACGAUCAGUAGCCGACCUGAGAGGGUGACCGGCCACAUUGGGACUGAGACACGGCCCAGACUCCUACGGGAGGCAGCAGUGGGGAAUAUUGCACAAUGGAGGAAACUCUGAUGCAGCGACGCCGCGUGAGUGAAGAAGUAAUUCGUUAUGUAAAGCUCUAUCAGCAGGGAAGAUAGUGACGGUACCUGACUAAGAAGCUCCGGCUAAAUACGUGCCAGCAGCCGCGGUAAUACGUAUGGAGCAAGCGUUAUCCGGAUUUACUGGGUGUAAAGGGAGUGUAGGUGGCCAUGCAAGUCAGAAGUGAAAAUCCGGGGCUCAACCCCGGAACUGCUUUUGAAACUGUAAGGCUAGAGUGCAGGAGGGGUGAGUGGAAUUCCUAGUGUAGCGGUGAAAUGCGUAGAUAUUAGGAGGAACACCAGUGGCGAAGGCGGCUCACUGGACUGUAACUGACACUGAGGCUCGAAAGCGUGGGGAGCAAACAGGAUUAGAUACCCUGGUAGUCCACGCCGUAAACGAUGAA
rnacentral:rRNA from 1 species